rnacentral:rRNA from 1 species
AUUGAACGCUGGCGGCAUGCUUUACACAUGCAAGUCGAACGGCAGCUCGGGGCAACCUGGCGGCGAGUGGCGAACGGGUGAGUAAUAUAUCGGAACGUACCCAAGAGUGGGGGAUAACGUAGCGAAAGUUACGUUAAUACCGCAUACGAUCUAAGGAUGAAAGCAGGGGACCUUCGGGCCGUGUGCUUCUGGAGCGGCCGAUAUCUGAUUAGCUAGUUGGUGGGGUAAAGGCCCACCAAGGCGACGAUCCGUAACUGGUCUGAGAGGAUGAUCAGUCACACUGGAACUGAGACACGGUCCAGACUCCUACGGGAGGCAGCAGUGGGGAAUAUUGGACAAUGGGCGAAAGCCUGAUCCAGCCAUGCCGCGUGUGUGAAGAAGGUCUUCGGAUUGUAAAGCACUUUAAGUUGGGAGGAAGGACGCUCGGUGAAUACCCAGGCGUCUUGACGUACCGACAGAAUAAGCACCGGCUAACUUCGUGCCAGCCGCCGCCGUAA